rnacentral:lncRNA from 1 species
CUUUUUCCCUUUUUUUUCCUCGUUUUUCUCCCCGUUUUUUCUUUUUUGCGGGCUGGCUCUGGGCGCCCGGCAGCGGCGGCCGCGCUGCCCCGCGCUUCCCCGGCUCGCUGGAAGCUGAGGGAUGCGACUCCGCCACCAUGAUGGAAGGACUGAAAAAACGCACCAGGAAGGCGUUCGGGAUACGCAAGAAAGAAAAGGACACCGACUCCACAGGGUCGCCGGACCGCGACGGGCUCAAGAAGAGCAACGGCGCCCCGAACGGCUUUUACGCGGAGAUCGACUGGGACAGAUACAAUUCGCCCGAGCUGGACGAGGAGGGCUACAGCAUCCGGCCGGAGGAACCGGGCUAUAUCCUUUACGGCCCGGCCGCGGGGCGGGCAGCCGUUUGCGG